UACGUAGGGUGCAAGCGUUGUCCGGAAUUAUUGGGCGUAAAGAGCUCGAAGGCGGCUUGUUGCGUCGACUGUGAAAACCCGCGGCUCAACCGUGUGGCUUGCAGUCGAUACGGGCAGGCUAGAGUUCGGUAGGGGAGACUGGAAUUCCUGGUGUAGCGGUGAAAUGCGCAGAUAUCAGGAGGAACACCGGUGGCGAAGGCGGGUCUCUGGGCCGAUACUGACGCUGAGGAGCGAAAGCGUGGGGAGCGAACAGG
rnacentral:rRNA from 1 species